rnacentral:rRNA from 1 species
CCUGCGGAGGGAUCAUUACAGAGUUAUCUAAACUCCAAACCCAUGUGGAAUAACCAAGUUGCCUCGGCGGGAGAGCCUACCCUGUAGCUACCCGGGAGCCAGCUACCCUGUAGCUGGCUACUCUGGAGAGGCCUACCCGGUAGCCCCCCGCCGGUGGACUAUUAAACUCUUUUUGUCUUUGGCACUUCUGAGUAUGUCAUACAAAUAAGUUAAAACUUUCAACAACGGAUCUCUUGGUUCUGGCAUCGAUGAAGAACGCAGCGAAAUGCGAUAAGUAAUGUGAAUUGCAGAAUUCAGUGAAUCAUCGAAUCUUUGAACGCACAUUGCGCCCGCUAGUAUUCUGGCGGGCAUGCCUGUUCGAGCGUCAUUUCGACCCUUAAGCCUAGUUGCUUAGCGUUGGGGGCUUCAGUUAUCCUGAACCUCUGAAAUCUAGUGGCGGAGUUGUUGCACACUCUGAGCGUAGUAGAUUUAUCUCGCUUUUGUAGUUGCCUCGACCUCGGCCGUUAAACCCCCUAUUUUAGAAAGUUGACC